rnacentral:rRNA from 1 species
GAUGAACGCUGGCGGCGUGCCUAAUACAUGCAAGUCGAGCGAACAGAUGAGGAGCUUGCUCCUCUGACGUUAGCGGCGGACGGGUGAGUAACACGUGGAUAACCUACCUAUAAGACUGGGAUAACUUCGGGAAACCGGAGCUAAUACCGGAUAAUAUAUUGAACCGCAUGGUUCAAUAGUGAAAGACGGUUUUGCUGUCACUUAUAGAUGGAUCCGCGCCGCAUUAGCUAGUUGGUAAGGUAACGGCUUACCAAGGCAACGAUGCGUAGCCGACCUGAGAGGGUCAUCGGCCACACUGGAACUGAGACUCGUUCCAGACUCCUACGGGAGGCAGCAGUAGGGAAUCUUCCGCAAUGGGCGAAAGCCUGACGGAGCAACGCCGCGUGAGUGAUGAAGGUCUUCGGAUCGUAAAACUCUGUUAUUAGGGAAGAACAAAUGUGUAAGUAACUAUGCACGUCUUGACGGUACCUAAUCAGAAAGCCACGGCUAACUACGUG